rnacentral:rRNA from 1 species
UCUGGUGACAAAGUGAUAGGAAAACACCCGUUCCCAUCCCGAACACGAAGGUAAAGACUAUUUGCGGUGACAAUACUCGGAGGGUAGCCUCCCGGGAAGAUAGCUCGUUGCCAGGG